GACGAACGCUGGCGGCGUGCCUAAUACAUGCAAGUUGAGCGAUGAAGAUUGGUGCUUGCCCCAAUUUGAAGAGCAGCGAACGGGUGAGUAACGCGUGGGGAAUCUGCCUUUGAGCGGGGGACAACAUUUGGAAACGAAUGCUAAUACCGCAUAAUAACUUUAAACAUAAGUUUUAAGUUUGAAAGAUGCAAUUGCAUCACUCAAAGAUGAUCCCGCGUUGUAUUAGCUAGUUGGUGAGGUAAAGGCUCACCAAGGCGAUGAUACAUAGCCGACCUGAGAGGGUGAUCGGCCACAUUGGGAAUGAGACACGGCCCAAACUCCUACGGGAGGCAGCAGUAGGGAAUCUUCGGCAAUGGACGAAAGUCUGACCGAGCAACGCCGCGUGAGUGAAGAAGGUUUUCGGAUCGUAAAACUCUGUUGGUAGAGAAGAACGUUGGUGAGAGUGGAAAGCUCAUCAAGUGACGGUAACUACCCAGAAAGGGACGGCUAACUACGUG
rnacentral:rRNA from 1 species